GUUUGGCCUGCCCCCUGAUAUUUUUAAAUGGCCGCGGUAUUUUGACCGUGCUAAGGUAGCAUAAUCAUUAGUUUUUUAAUUGAAAACUGGAAGGAAGGGUGGGAUGUAARAAAAUCUGUUUWUAUYUAAUUUGKUUAGAAUUUUAUUUWUAAGUUAAAAAGCUUAARURGUUUUAAAAGACGAGAAGACCCUAUAGAGUUUUAUAAUAAAUUUUUAAUUUUUAUAAAGUAUUAAAUUAGUUAUUAAAAUUUUAUUAUUUAAUUGGGGUGAUUAAAAAAUAUAAURAACUUUUUUAUAUUUUUAUAUUUAUUAAUAAAUAUUUGAUCCAUAUUAAUGAUUAUAAGAUUAAAUUACMYUAGGGAUAACAGCGUUAUUUUAUUAAAGAGUUCAAAUCGAUAAUAAAGAUUGCGACCUCGAUGUUGGAUUAAAA
rnacentral:rRNA from 1 species